UACGUAGGGUGCAAGCGUUAUCCGGAAUUAUUGGGCGUAAAGAGCUCGUAGGCGGUUUGUCGCGUCUGCUGUGAAAACUGGAGGCUCAACCUCCAGCCUGCAGUGGGUACGGGCAGACCAGAGUGCGGUAGGGGAGAUUGGAAUUCCUGGUGUAGCGGUGGAAUGCGCAGAUAUCAGGAGGAACACCGAUGGCGAAGGCAGAUCUCUGGGCCGUAACUGACGCUGAGGAGCGAAAGCAUGGGGAGCGAACAGG
rnacentral:rRNA from 1 species